CCUACGGGUGGCAGCAGUGGGGAAUAUUGGACAAUGGGCGAAAGCCUGAUCCAGCCAUGCCGCGUGUGUGAAGAAGGUCUUCGGAUUGUAAAGCACUUUAAGUUGGGAGGAAGGGCAUUAACCUAAUACGUUAGUGUUUUGACGUUACCGACAGAAUAAGCACAGGCUAACUUCGUGCCAGCAGCCGCGGUAAUACGAAGGGUGCAAGCGUUAAUCGGAAUUACUGGGCGUAAAGCGGGCGUAGGGGGUUUGUUAAGUUGAAUGUGAAAGCCCCGGGCUCAACCUGGGAACUGCAUCCAAAACUGGCAAGCUAGAGUAUGGCAGAGGGUGGUGGAAUGUCCUGUGUAGCGGUGAAAUGCGUAGAUAUAGGAAGGAACACCAGUGGCGAAGGCGACCACCUGGGCUAAUACUGACACUGAGGUGCGAAAGCGUGGGGAGCAAACAGGAUUAGAUACCCGAGUAGUC
rnacentral:rRNA from 1 species